rnacentral:sRNA from 1 species
UUUGCAAAGUAGGCACAUGACAACCAUAUAAUGACCACCAAUUCCCUAAAAUAUAAAC